rnacentral:rRNA from 1 species
CCUACGGGAGGCAGCAGUAGGGAAUUUUCGUCCAUGGGCGCAAGCCUGAACGAGCAAUGCCGCGUGAACGAGGAAGGUCUUCGGAUCGUAAAGUUCUGUUGAAGGGGAAGAAGAGCGGAGAGAGGAAAUGAACUCCGAUUGAUAUUACCCUUCGAGGAAGUCACGGCUAACUCCGUGCCAGCAGCCGCGGUAAUACGGAGGAUGCGAGCGUUCUCCGGAUUUAUUGGGUUUACAGGGUGCGCAGGCGGCCUGUUACGUCAGCGGUAAAAGCCCGGGGCUCAACCCCGGCGAGCCGUUGAAACUGGCGGGCUGGAGUUGGAGAGAGGUACGCGGAAUGCGCGGUGUAGCGGUGAAAUGCUUAGAUAUCGCGCAGAACCCCGAUUGCGAAGGCAGCGUACCGGCUCCACACUGACGCUGAGGCACGAAAGCGUGGGUAUCGAACAGGAUUAGAUACCCUUGUAGUC